rnacentral:lncRNA from 1 species
UGAACAUACACCUUGGGUUAAAAUGGUGAGCAAAAAUGCUCCCAUUUUGUAACGUGCUAGGAUAUUAUUUCCUUAAGUAAAUAUGAUUUUGUUUUUGUUUUUUUUUUUCAAAAAGUCCUAUACAUAUAAAUGGAACUUUAAUUUGAGGAAAUACACAUAUUCGCUCACUUACAUAGUCCCCCCUUAGCUCACCCUAGCCCUGGGCCUUUU